UAAGACGUAGGGGGCGAGCGUUGUCCGGAUUCAUUGGGCGUAAAGCGCGCGUAGGCGGCUGCGCAAGUCGGGUGUGAAACCCCGGGGCUCAACCCCGGAACUGCAUCCGAUACUGCGUGGCUAGAGGUAGGUAGGGGAGAUCGGAAUUCCUGGUGUAGCGGUGAAAUGCGCAGAUAUCAGGAGGAACACCGGUGGCGAAGGCGGAUCUCUGGGCCUUACCUGACGCUCAGGCGCGAAAGCUAGGGGAGCGAACAGGAUUAGAUACCCUGGUAGUCCUAGCCGUAAACGUUGGGUGCUAGGUGUGGGCGGAUAUCGACCCCGUCCGUGCCGAAGCUAACGCAUUAAGCACCCCGCCUGGGGAGUACGGCCGCAAGGCUA
rnacentral:rRNA from 1 species